CAAAAUAAGGCAGAAGAAGGAGAAGAAUUGGCCCAUCCGUCACAGGCACUACAUCAACAAGUUCAAGGCCAUCAUCAGGAGGAUUGAGGACCCCAAAACUGUUCCGGUUCCUAUGCAACCAUUCGAUAGCGAAGCAUUCAGCCGGUAUCUUUUCUGGCUAGGUAGUGUGUCUCGUUUGUACAUAAAGCCGCCGGCUUUUGCACCCGAGGACGUAGGAGACGGAACAUAUCCGGAUGAUGAGGACAUGGCCAAGUUGGAUUAUAACAGACGCACAAGAGAGGGUAGAAACCCUGACCCCACACGUGAACUCCGAUUUGUGCGUGAGGAGGUAUCUAGAGUAUUGAGCGAUGCUGAGUUAGCAUUGCAAUCCGGGACCGAGUCCACCCUUCGAGUUUUCGCUGAGCGCACGAAGAAUUGGGCCCGUGGCUUAUGUGCUUUGCUUGGUUGCCGUACCAUCGAGGUCGCCUCACCGACGAGGCCAACUCCCACUUCAAGCUAUGAG